UUUUUCUUUUUUUUUUUUUUUUCAAUUUUUAUAUAAAAAACAACAGGGAGGGAUGAUCUGAAUCUGUUAAGUUAUGUCUUGCAAUCUCUAACUUUUUCAUGCAUUAGGGAAAAAAAAAAGAAGUUUAAAGCAUAAAUACAAGUUCUUUUGUUACACAGAAAUUACCAUAAAUACAGGUUUUGAUUUGCAUUGCGCAGACAUGGCUAAAAAAAAUUCUAGUCCAAGGAGCACAACAUCCAAGUAAGCACAGAUAUGCAUUUUAGCAGAUAAUGCAUGAAAUGCUGUAGUGCUUUGGUUUAAUAGCAUAAAUGCUAUUUACCAUCAACUAAAAGCAGAAACUGGGAUUAGAAUGCUCUAGUUGUAUUGUUGUUAAGUUCCUAGCUCAGUUCAGUUUCAUUUUGCUGCUCUCUGAAGUUCUAAACACAGUACAAGGAAAGCUUUAACACAUAAAAAUCCCAAUCAACAAUGACAAACAAAACAGGGUUCUUAAUUUACAGACCAAGCAAGACAACUGGUAUCCUGUAAUC
rnacentral:misc_RNA from 1 species